AACGAACGCUGGCGGCGCGCCUAAUACAUGCAAGUCGAGCGAGAAGGUGUAGCAAUACACUUGUAAAGCGGCGAACGGGUGAGGAAUACAUGGGUAAUCUACCAUCGAGUGGGGAAUAACCAACCGAAAGGUUGGCUAAUACCGCGUACGCCUCCGAGUCUUCGGGUUCGGAGGGAAAGCUGCACUGUGAGUGUAGCGCUCUUUGAUGAGCUCAUGUCCUAUCAGCUUGUUGGUAGGGUAACGGCCUACCAAGGCUUUGACGGGUAGCUGGUCUGAGAGGACGAUCAGCCACACUGGCACUGCGACACGGGCCAGACUCCUACGGGAGGCAGCAGUAAGGAAUAUUGCGCAAUGGGCGAAAGCCUGACGCAGCGACGCCGCGUGGGGGAUGAAGGUCUUCGGAUUGUAAACCCCUUUCGGGAGGGAAGAUGGAACGAGCAAUCGUUCGAACGGUACCUCCAGAAGCAGCCACGGCCAACUUCGUGCCAGCAGCCG
rnacentral:rRNA from 1 species